GACUCUGUGGUGAAAUUCAUAUUGAGUUGCAAGCUCAUUGAUGUACAUAAAAAAUGUGCCGGAGUCU
rnacentral:tRNA from 1 species